rnacentral:lncRNA from 1 species
AGAUUGGAAAGUUAUAGUUCCUUUUAAGGACAAAUUCGCGAAGAGGCCAACUUAAGGUGCAAAGGGACUUAUAUGUCCACAUAAUGUGGCUUGACUAUCAGAGAGAUUACUCUCAAAACAGCCCGACUAUCGGAGAGAUUACUCUCAAUGUGGCCUAACUAUCGGAGAGAUUACUCUCAAAAUGGCCCGACUAUCGGAGAUAUUACUCUCAAAAUGGCCCGACUAUUGAAGAGAUUACUCUCAAUGUGGCCUGACUAUCAGAGAGAUUACUCUCAAAACGGCCCGACUAUCGGAGAGAUUACUCUCAAUGUGGCCUGACUAUCGGAGAGAUUACUCUCAAAACGGCCUGACUAUCAGAGAUAUUACUCUCAAUGUGGCCUGACUAUCGAAGAGAUUACUCUCAAAACGACUUGACUUUCGGCAAGGCCAACUUAAGGUGCAAAGGGAUUUAUAUGUCCACCUUAAGAUUGGAAAGUUAUAGUUCCUUUUAAGGACAAAUCCGCGAAGAGGCCAACUUAAGGUGCAAAGGGACUUAUAUGUCCACCUUAAGAUUGGAAGACUUAUAUGUCCACAGAAUGUGGCUUGACUAUCGAAAGAUAUUACUCUCAAAAUGGCCCGACUAUCUGAGAGAUUACUCUCAAUGUGGCCUGACUAUCGGAGAGAUUACUCUCAAAACGACCCGACUUUCGGCAAGGCCAACUUAAGGUGAAAAGGGAGUCAUAUGUCCACCUUAAGAUUGGAAAGUUAUAAAGCUU